rnacentral:lncRNA from 1 species
GUUGGGACUGUCUUGGGUUCGAUAUCCAAUCUUAAUAACGGUCUCUUUGCUCUCCUUGGUGCUGCCUCCUUCCUCGGGGGUACUAUGAGGAUGACUGUAUCCAUCUGUGUCAUACUACUUGAGCUCACCGAUGACCUGCUAAUGCUUCCAUUGGUGAUGCUUGUGCUCCUUGUUUCAAAGACUGUGGCCGACUGUUUUAACAAGGGUGUCUACGACCAGACUGUGAAAAUGAAAGGCUUGCCUUAUUUGGAAGCACAUGCCGAACCAUACAUGAGGCAAUUAGUUGCAGGAGAUGUUUGUUCAGGGCCUUUAAUUACAUUCUCAGGUGUUGAGAAGGUAGGGAACAUAAUACAUGCUUUGAAGUUUACUAGACACAACGGAUUUCCCGUGAUUGAUGCACCGCCAUUCUCAGACGCACCAGAGUUCUGUGGACUUGCUCUAAGGUCGCACCUACUUGUUUUGCUCAAAGGAAAGAAAUUCACGAAACUAAGUGUAUUGAGCGGCUCCAGUAUUUUGAGGAGUUUUCAUGCGUUUGAUUUCGCUAAGCCAGGAUCAGGGAAGGGGCCUAAGCUCGAGGAUUUGUCCUUCACUGAUGAGGAGAUGGAAAUGUAUGUAGAUCUCCAUCCUGUCACAAAUACAUCUCCAUACACAGUAGUGGAAACCAUGUCUCUGGCCAAAGCUGCAAUCCUUUUUCGACAACUUGGUCUUAGACACUUGUGUGUUGUACCAAAAAAGACUACCGGGGUAAGUCGUUCUUUUCGCUUCUCAUCCCCGGCCCUCCAAGAUAAUGAUAUGUACAUGUCCAUAAUAAGUAGGAUUAGAAUCUAAAUAAUAAGAUAAUUUACUUGCUACAACAGGUUAAAAUUUGUUAAAUCCGAAAAAAUGACAUACUUCCAUAACAUAACAAAAUUACCAUAUGAUUGUUUUGACAUAUAGUUUGAUAUUUCUGAUGUUUGUUUCUGCAUUCAACUUACACAACACUAGUUCUAAAGAUUUAGCUCUUUUAAAUUUGCAGAGGGAUCCAAUCGUUGGAAUUUUGACAAGGCAUGACUUUAUGCCAGAGCAUAUAAAGGGACUGUACCCACAUUUGGUCCAUCACAAGUAGCAGAGAGAAACUAGCUCUUCCAACAGGCAAUCGGGCAACCAUUAUUUGGGGAGUGUUAUACACACAUUCCACAUUGAGCUCUGUACACAAUCUUCCCAAAUUUUCUCAUUGACAAAAUUGAAUUUAGUAGUCUCAAUUAGAGCAAAAAUUCUCCCUUACUUUGAAUUAUUGAACUUUCUUGUUUUUGGUGGUUUAACAAAUAGUAUUGCAUAGAUGAUCUCAAUAACACAUCAAGUAAUACAGUGGUCGGUCUCUGAUAAUACAACCAAUGCCCCAAGAAGAUGGACACGGACAUUUUUGGAAAUUAAGUACGUUAUAAACUCUCGUGAUUUAAGACAAGAUAGCUCUAAAGGAAGAGUCUUCAAGCCGUCACUAGUCGAGGUGUCAACAACCGAUGAUGUCGAGCACCGUUGACAAAACUGUAACGGCUAGUUUUCAAAAUAUGAUAUUAAAGGGAAUAUUCUAGUGGAUAUUCUCUUAGAGUACUAUUAGGGUUUUGUUAAGAAAAUGUUUGAUAGAAAUAGAAAAGGAGAGAAUGGUGGAAGGGGGAUAUUCAUUUUGUAAGAACACACUUUGACAAAAGAUUCUCUCACUACAAUACAAACAAUACCUUUUUCACCAAGAUUCUUGUCUAUAUUAUUUCAUAUUUUCCACCAGAUCCGAGGAUAAUUCGAAUAUUCAAGGAUUUGUUUGUCAUUCAUCAUUACCAGAAGGAGUAACACCUAAAUUCUCCUUUAUUGGGUGAAUCACACCUUUUAUUUAAUCG